CGAGUCGACCGGGCGGUCGCGUCGAGCGGGUCUCCGGACCCGGUCGCCGAGGAACGUCCGGACUCCACAGGGCAGGGUGGUUGCUAACGGCAACCCGGGGUGACCCGCGGGACAGUGCCACAGAAAACAGACCGCCGCGCCCGACUGGGCACGGUAAGGGUGAAACGGUGGGGUAAGAGCCCACCAGCAUCCCGGGUGACCGGGAUGGCUCGGUAAACCCCACCCGGAGCAAGGCCAAGAAGGGGCCGGUCGUCGCAGGACGACCGCCCCGCGCAGGCGUUCGAGGGCGGCCCGCCCGAUGCCUGCGGGUAGGCCGCUGGAGCCUGCCGGCGACGGCAGGCCGAGAUGGAUGGCCGCCACCGGCCCCACCGGCAACGGUGCGGACCGGUCACAGAAUCCGGCGUACAGGUCGACUCGUCCG
rnacentral:RNase_P_RNA from 1 species